UAUUUCCAUUUCCAAUCGGUCCUGUUCAGUCAAGGGAGAAUUGGAAAUUCAGAGAUGGAUCCAGUUCCCUGUUGGGUUGAAGUGUUCACAGGGUAGCUGUGGUGAGACUGCAUUGAAAACAGUUGCUAAGUCAUCUUGUCCUGUAAUGCUGCAGCUGGGCAUUGCCUGGGAGAGUGCCGGUUGUUGUGGGCCAACAUGAAGGACAGUUGUGGUAACAACUUGGAUGAUACUACAUACUGUUCAAGCUUAUACCAUGCCCCUGUCUUAAUUACAAAUACAGUCAAAAGACUGCUUUAUAGCCUGAGAGUCUGUUUAAUGUUCACACAGGAUGGAUAUAGCCUGUGUGAUAGAGAUUGAUGUGCCUGAAAGUGGGAUUUACGCUUAAUGUGCCUGAAGCCUAAAACAGGUUAUAUGUUGUGUUCCAGUAGUUGUGAAGUUGACUAGAUGCUCACAGUCACUCAGUGCCAGUGCUGCUCACAGACUCAGCAGAGCCUUCACUGGAGGCACCAGGCAGUCUGCCUGUAUUGCUGGGUACACCUUCAGUAUGUGUGUGUGCAGGAGACUGAGAGUUAGGGACUAGUAUCUGUGAUUCAGUGCUCACGGCAGCAAGCACUGACAGAGGCAGACCAGAAAGAAUAACAAAAGCAUUAUGUACUGAAACAAGAUUCUUUUAUUUCAGUGCAGUACAAAGAAAUAGAAGUUACUUUGCUUUGAAUGAAAGUACUGAAACUAAAAGAUGAAUCAGAUGAAAAUACAUUCGUGUAGUAUUAGGAAUCCUUGGAUAUCAAAGCAGUGAAAAAUGAUAUCUAUGAUGCUGCAGCAUUGAUAAAUAAAAAUAUUUACAUAGCUUUAAUGCAUUACUUCCUUGAUUUAGUGUUACAUCAUUAACUUAGUUUCCAGCAGUGCAAGAUAGAACUGACAAUGCUUAGUCAUCAGUCUUUCAGCCAGUGGUUACCCUGUGUUUAAAAUGCACUGGUACAGCAUGUGCAUUUGGCUGUGCCAAGCCACCUCUACAAAACCUCACCAAAACCAAAGUCAACCUCGGUUCUGUUAACCUUGAACUUUGGUUAUGGAUAAUAACAUGGUAAACAGUGGGCCCAGUUCACAGUCAAAUAACAUGAACUCAGUGUAUUAAGUAUGAGAAAGUAUUGUUUAAAUAAAAAAUAAAUUAAAAAGAGAUUGCUACAUUGUCAUCCUGCAGCACCAAACACAACAGCUGCUCAGUUUUGAGCUUCAGUUAGAGCACUAUUUUUCUGUUUGAAUCAGUACAGGUCAUCUGUUUUCCUAGUAAAAGCAGGUGAGUUAUGUUUUCAAAGGUGUCAAAUCAUAUGGAUAUUUGGUUUGUGGUAGAGUCAACAGCCCCAUUUACAGACUCAGGGUUUUGGUUGGUUUUGUUUUUUACUUAAGUAAACAUAAAUUACACGGGUAGUCCUGUGAACCAAGCCCGUUGUCAAAAGGAAGCACAUUUCUCGCCAAAUUAAAAGUCUUAUGUAAGAAUGUGUUUUUAGAAUGGAUUUGAAUAGCUGCUGUGUAUGUUACUAAAAUCAUGUGUCUUCCUGCUUGCACUUUAUACCAACACAAAAAUUGGAUAAACAUGCAGGAAAAUGUAGCAUCAUAUAGAAAAUAAUGUGUAAAAAAACACGUAGUAUCUUAUAUUAAAGCAUUUACACUGCAUAGGCAUUCAUAUGAGGAUAUAGUAUAAUAAAACUCAUCAAAUAUACAAGCAUGCAGCAGUUGCCUUAUAUUCACAGUUCUAGAAAUGACCACACAUUGAUUUCCUCAAAUACAAAUUGGAUUAUCCAAAAUAGAUUUUGCAGCCACUCUCCUUUGCAGUGGCAAUCUAUGUUCUCGUGUGCAUUGCAGAUACUGACCUAUAUAACAGGCCUAAGCUAUGCUGCUGUAUGGUACACAUCUGUGAUAAAUACUGUGUUUUGAAAUAGGAAAGAUAAUGAGAAGUUACUCAUACUUCCCAUAGCAGAACUUGGAGACUAUGCAGUGCUUGAAUUGAACGAAAUAUAUAAGCGUAUUUAUUGUAUUCUCCUUAGAGAGUAACACUGCCACCUUGCCACAUAUCUAGCUACUGCAUAAGCUGGCCAUGCAGUUUUCAAAAUAACUUUAGACAGAUUUUUUUUUCUAUUUGAUAUUUUAUUCCAUCAGAAGAGGUAUAGUAGUAAACUUAAAUAGUCUGUAUCCUUUUUGCUCUGCAAACUUUACAAAGAAAUUCUGCUACUUCUAGGUUGUGUAGGGAACACAAUGCAGUGCCAACAGCACACUCUGAGAUUUAAAAUACAUUUGCAGAGAGGUGUUUUUUCUUCUGUUGAAGAAGGUGGUGUUGGGUACAGUGGUGAGCUUGGACCACCUUAACUGUCACAAGAUGACAGUACUCAGCUUAGACCCUCUCUGUGGCUGAAUACCACCUGGAGGGUAAAGUUGAGGUCAUGUGGCUUGAAGUUGUCUGUGGUUCUGGGUUGCUUGUUAUUGCCUAGCUUGGCAAGUUAACCCGGUGUGUGACUCCAGGACAACAGCGAGCAAAACACCUGGAGGCAAUGCAUGUGUUAGUUGUGCAAGGCUUGCAGGGGAUUCAGAAACAGCAUGUGGGAAAUAGCUUGAAAAGGAAAAAGGCAAGAGACAGAAGGGGAGAUAGAGGAAACAUUUGACAAUGAAAAAGUGGAGUGGAAGGGAAAAGGGAGUAUUGAGGCAGUGGUUGCUGUUUUCUCUGGGUUUUAUUUUUUUUUUU